rnacentral:misc_RNA from 1 species
AUAUAUAUCAACCACUCUUCUUGAGUGGCUUGGAUGUGGGGGGUUUGCUGGCCUGUUCAGCUCCCCUGAAAUGCAUUAGCGGAACGACCUGUUCAUUCAUUGGUGUGAUAACUAUCUACGCUAUUGAGUGCGAGGCGGUUCAGCUUCCUAACGGUCCUCGGACAGUUUUUAUCAUUUU